rnacentral:rRNA from 1 species
UACAGAGGGUGCGAGCGUUAAGCGGAAUUACUGGGCGUAAAGCGCACGUAGGUGGCGACGUAAGUCGGGUGUGAAAGCCCCGGGCUCAACCUGGGAAUUGCAUUCGAGACUGCAUUGCUGGAGUACGGAAGAGGAAGGCGGAAUUCCCGGUGUAGCGGUGAAAUGCGUAGAUAUCGGGAGGAACAUCAGUGGCGAAGUCGGCCUUCUGGUCCAGUACUGACACUCAAGUGCGAAAGCGUGGUGAGCAAACAGG